ncrna:unclassified sequences RAGATH-18 RNA
CUCUUGGAGCGUUAUACCAAACAAAAGUAGUUAGUUAAUUUAUUUUAACGACAAAAUUGGACGCAUUGAAUAGGGAA